rnacentral:rRNA from 1 species
UACGUAGGGGGCAAGCGUUGUCCGGAAUCAUUGGGCGUAAAGAGCGUGUAGGCGGCUCGAUAAGUCUGCUGUGAAGGUCCAGGCUCAACCCUGGAAGGCCGGUGGAAACUGUCGGGCUAGAGUCCGGAAGAGGCGAGUGGAAUUCCUGGUGUAGCGGUGAAAUGCGUAGAGAUUAGGAAGAACACCAGUGGCGAAGGCGACUUACUGGACUGUAACUGACACUGAGGCAUGAAAAGCGUGGGUAGCAAACAGG